rnacentral:rRNA from 1 species
UGCGGAGGAUCAUUAAAAGAAAUUGGUUAUACAUUUCAUGUAUCAACUGCUUUGAACCCAUUCUGUGUACCUUGCCUGUUGCUUCCAUGGAGCCUGACUUUGGUCACUCUUGUGAUGUAAAUCCCAAGGGAGUCCCCAUGGAAGGUCAUCAAUAAAACUCAUGUAUCCAAUGUCUUCUGUCUGAACUGUUUAUAACAAUUGUUAAAACUUUCAACAACGGAUCUCUUGGUUCUCGCAUCGAUGAAGAACGCAGCGAAAUGCGAUAAGUAGUGUGAAUUGCAGAAUUCAGUGAAUCAUCGAAUCUUUGAACGCACAUUGCGCCUCCCGGUAUUCCGGGAGGCAUGCCUGUUCGAGCAUCAUUAAAUACCUCUCAAGCACCAUUGCUUGGUCAUGGAAGAUGAGUAUGCUUGCAUUCUCCCUUCUGAAAUUCAAAGGCGGAUGAUCUCAUAUUCCCUGGCGUAGUAAGUGUUUAUCUUUCGCUUGGAGUGUCUGACAGUCUUGCCAUCGACCCCCAUUAUUUCAAGGUUGACCUCGGAUCAGGUAGGGAUACCCGCUGAACUUAAGCAUAUCAAUAAGCCGGAGGA